AAACGCACUUCGUCUCUCUCUCGUCUCAUCGGUCUUAAACCUAGAAAAAAUAGCCGACGAAAUGUUCGGCCUGCUACGGUGAAGAAAGAUCCAUUCCGACGAAGUACAACCAUUUCGGCUAAUAUAAGGAAUCUCAGAUACCCUAUCCUUUGCAACAACUGAAGUAGAGGAACUUCAGCCUGUCGUGAUAGAGUUUUGAACCCGUCGGUCCUAGUGAAGCAGUUGUGAUAGAGUUUGGAAGCUUCCUCGGCACAUUGGGAAGGAAUGCGACUCUUGUGUCCUCUUGAUAUUUUGGAUUGGAGGAAGAUGGACACAAGAGGAUAUAUGGGAAUAUACCAAGGAUAAAUAUGAUAUUCCUGAAGCUGGAAAAAAAUGGACAUUGGAAUCAGUUCAAGCUGCCAGGAGAAAGCCCAAGAGUAGAUUGAAAAAAGAUCACUUUGACGCCUAUGAAAAUGAUGAAACUCGAAUGCAACAUAUCCCUGAAGAUGUUCCAGCUUCUCAGUUUAAGGAACUCUUUAGGUAUUGGAACUCUGAGAAACUCCAGUUAUGUGACUUUUUACUUUUUCUUCUUCAUUUUCUUGAACUUCUUCUUAAAGUUCUUCUUCUGCUUGAACUUCUUCUUAAAGUUCUUCUUCUGCUUGAACUUCUUAAAGUUCUUCUUCUGCUUGAACUUCUUAAAGUUCUUCUUCUUAUUUCUGGAGAUGUUUUCUCCUCCUUUUUGGCCAUUGCUGUUGUGUUUCCCUUCUUUCUCUGCUUCACUGCUGCUGAUUUUUUUUUCGCUUUUUCACUUUGUUGCUACUGCUUGUACACUCUGCUCGCCGCUGCUGCUAUUUUUAAAGACUAGCCAAAGGCCUUGCAAUCUGAAAUUUCCUAAAACUACUAAACAAAAUACAAUCAUACUUGGACAAGGUGUACAACAUCAAAAGACAAUUAAGCUAUAAGCAGAAACGAUUAAGUUGUAGAAUGCAAAAAUCGAAGAUGUCUUGGCUUCAUCAGAAGUGUCAAAUUUCUAGUCACCGAGUACUAUUGUGGAGAUAUUAUUGCAGUUGCUCCAUACUCAUGAUUGAAGUAAGAAAACCACUAGUUUGGACCAAAUGCUAGUUUGUUGUUGUUUCUAAUUUGUGAACUACUGAUCCAGUAUAGCUAUAUUAUCUAAUUUAAUAUGCUUAAGUGUCUCUUUCUAUUGUAUGUGAAUUUCCUACUCGUCUUAGAUGGAAAGUAGAUUAUCGUCUAGUGUAAAGAAUAUCAGUUGUUUUUAACAGUAAUCUAAUCUUCUAAAUCUGCAUUGAAUA